rnacentral:rRNA from 1 species
AAUGAACGUUGGCGGCGUGGAUUAGGCAUGCAAGUCGUACGGGUCGGUGUAGCAAUACAACGGCAAGUGGCGCAAGGGAGAGUAACACGUAGAUACCUACCCUCUGGUCGGGGAUACCGCGGCAUAACCGCAAGUAAUACCCGAUAAAAUCUCCGGAUCAAAGGUGUGAUUCCGCCGGAGGAGGGGUCUGCGUUCUAUCAGCUGGUUGGUGAGGUAAUGGCUCACCAAGGCUAAGACGGAUACGGGGUGUGAGAGAAUGCCCCCGCUCACUGGGACUGAGACACUGCCCAGACACCUACGGUGGGCUGCAGUCGAGAAUCUUCGGCAAUGGGCGCAAGCCUGACCGAGCGACGCCGCGUGCGGGAUGAAGGCCUUCGGGUUGUAAACCGCUGUCGAGGGGAAUGAAGUGUAGGUGGGUACUCCCAUCUAUUUGACAGAUCCCUGGAGGAAGCAUGGGCUAAGUUCGUGCCAGCAGCCGCCGUAACAC